UUAGAAUAGAAUUUAAGGUCUAAUCUGCCCACUGAUUUAUUAAAUGGCCGCAGUAAUUUGACUGUGCAAAGGUAGCAUAAUAAUUAGUUUUUUAAUUAAAAGCUUGUAUGAAUGAUUGGACGAGAUAAAUACUGUCUCUAAAUAAUAGAUAGAAUUUAAUUUUUAAGUUAAAAAGCUUAAAUAAUAAUAAAAGACGAGAAGACCCUAUAGAUCUUUAUAAUAUUUUUUAUAUAUUUAAUUAAGAUUAUUUUAUUAUUUAUAAUAAAUAUUAUUGUAUUGGGGUAAUAGAAAGAUUAAAUAAAUUCUUUAUUAUAAAUAAAUAUAAAUUAAUAAAUUAAUGAUCCUUUAUUAAAGAUUAUAAGAUUAAGUUACCUUAGGGAUAACAGCGUAAUUUUUUUGAAGAGUUCUUAUCGAUAAAAAAGUUUGCGACCUCGAUGUUGGAUUAAAAAUUAUUCUAGGUGUAGUAGUUUAGAAUUUUGGUCUGUUCGACCAUUAAAUUUUUACAUGAUCUGAGUUUAGACCGGUGUAAGCCAGGUCGGUUUCUAUCUUUAUUAAACUAAUAUAUUUUAGUACGAAAGGACCAAAUAUAAAAUAUAUUAAUAUUUAAAUUUUUGAAUUAUAU
rnacentral:rRNA from 1 species